AGCUACAGGCUUAACACAUGCAAGUCGAGGGGCAGCAUGGUCUUAGCUUGCUAAGGCCGAUGGCGACCGGCGCACGGGUGAGUAACACGUAUCCAACCUGCCGUCUACUCUUGGACAGCCUUCUGAAAGGAAGAUUAAUACAAGAUGGCAUCAUGAGUCCGCAUGUUCACAUGAUUAAAGGUAUUCCGGUAGACGAUGGGGAUGCGUUCCAUUAGAUAGUAGGCGGGGUAACGGCCCACCUAGUCUUCGAUGGAUAGGGGUUCUGAGAGGAAGGUCCCCCACAUUGGAACUGAGACACGGUCCAAACUCCUACGGGAGGCAGCAGUGAGGAAUAUUGGUCAAUGGGCGAGAGCCUGAACCAGCCAAGUAGCGUGAAGGAUGACUGCCCUAUGGGUUGUAAACUUCUUUUAUAAAGGAAUAAAGUCGGGUAUGCAUACCCGUUUGCAUGUACUUUAUGAACAAGGAUCGGCUAACUCCGUGCCAGCGGCCGCGGUAAUACGGAGGAUCCGAGCGUUAUCCGGAUUUAUUGGGUUUAAAGGGAGCGUAGAUGGAUGUUUAAGUCAGUUGUGAAAGUUUGCGGCUCAACCGUAAAAUUGCAGUUGAUACUGGAUAUCUUGAGUGCAGUUGAGGCAGGCGGAAUUCGUGGUGUAGCGGUGAAAUGCUUAGAUAUCACGAAGAACUCCGAUUGCGAAGGCAGCCUGCUAAGCUGCAACUGACAUUGAGGCUCGAAAGUGUGGGUAUCAAACAGGAUUAGAUACCCUGGUAGUCCACACGGUAAACGAUGAAUACUCGCUGUUUGCGAUAUACGGCAAGCGGCCAAGCGAAAGCGUUAAGUAUUCCACCUGGGGAGUACGCCGGCAACGGUGAAACUCAAAGGAAUUGACGGGGGCCCGCACAAGCGGAGGAACAUGUGGUUUAAUUCGAUGAUACGCGAGGAACCUUACCCGGGCUUAAAUUGCAGAUGAAUUACGGUGAAAGCCGUAAGCCGCAAGGCAUCUGUGAAGGUGCUGCAUGGUUGUCGUCAGCUCGUGCCGUGAGGUGUCGGCUUAAGUGCCAUAACGAGCGCAACCCUUGUUGUCAGUUACUAACAGGUUCCGCUGAGGACUCUGACAAGACUGCCAUCGUAAGAUGUGAGGAAGGUGGGGAUGACGUCAAAUCAGCACGGCCCUUACGUCCGGGGCUACACACGUGUUACAAUGGGGGGUACAGAGGGCCGCUACCACGCGAGUGGAUGCCAAUCCCCAAAACCUCUCUCAGUUCGGACUGGAGUCUGCAACCCGACUCCACGAAGCUGGAUUCGCUAGUAAUCGCGCAUCAGCCACGGCGCGGUGAAUACGUUCCCGGGCCUUGUACACACCGCCCGUCAAGCCAUGGGAGCCGGGGGUACCUGAAGUGCGUAACCGCGAGGAGCGCCCUAGGGUAAAACUGGUGACUGGGG
rnacentral:rRNA from 1 species